AUUGAACGCUGGCGGCAGGCCUAACACAUGCACGUCGAACGAGUGGCGGACGGGUGAGUAAUGUCUGGGAAACUGCCCGAUGGAGGGGGAUAACUACUGGAAACGGUAGCUCAUACCGCAUACCAUCGGAUGUGCCCAGAUGGGAUUAGCUAGUAGGUUGGGUAACGGCUCACAUAGGCGACGAUCCCUCGCUGGUCUGCGAGGAUGACCAGCCACACUGGAACUGAGAAACGGUCCAGACUCCGACGGGAGGCAGCAGUGGGGAAUAUUGCACAAUGGGCGCAAGCCUGAUGCAGCAAUGCCGCGUGUAUGAAGAAGGCCUGCGGGUUGUAAAGUACUUUCAGCGGGGAGGCGUUACCCGCAGAAGAAGCACCGGCUAACUCCGUGCCAGCAGCCGCGGUAAUAC
rnacentral:rRNA from 1 species